rnacentral:misc_RNA from 1 species
GAUGAAGAACGUAGCGAAAUGCGAUAAGUAGUGUGAAUUGCAGAAUUCAGUGAAUCAUCGAAUCUUUGAACGCACAUUGCGCCCCUUGGUAUUCCAUGGGGCAUGCCUGUUCGAGCGUCAUUUGUACCUUCAAGCUUUGCUUGGUGUUGGGUGUUUGUCCUGAGGGACUCGCCUUAAAGUAAUUGGCAGCCAGUGUUUUGGUUUUGAAGCGCAGCACAAGUCGCGAUUCAAGGCUAUACGCCAACUUCCACAAGCCUUUUUCACUUUUGACCUCGGAUCAGGUAGGGAUACCCGCUGAACUUAAGCAUAUCAAUAAGCGGAGGA